GGCCUAAUACAUGCAAGUCGAACGAUAGUAAGAAGCUUGCUUCUUACGAAAGUGGCGCACGGGUGCGUAACGCGUAUGCAACCUACCUUAAUCAGGGGGAUAGCCCGAAGAAAUUCGGAUUAACACCGCAUAAAAACACAGGAUAGCAUUAUCCAAUGUUCAAAUAUUUAUAGGAUUAAGAUGGGCAUGCGUGUCAUUAGCUAGUUGGCGGGGUAACGGCCCACCAAGGCGACGAUGACUAGGGGAUCUGAGAGGAUGACCCCCCACACUGGUACUGAGACACGGACCAGACUCCUACGGGAGGCAGCAGUAAGGAAUAUUGGUCAAUGGAGGCAACUCUGAACCAGCCAUGCCGCGUGCAGGAAGACAGCCCUCUGGGUCGUAAACUGCUUUUAUUCGGGAAUAAACCUAUUUACGUGUAGAUAGCUGAAUGUACCGAAGGAAUAAGGAUCGGCUAACUCCGUGCCAGCAGCCGCGGUAAUACGGAGGAUCCAAGCGUUAUCCGGAUUUAUUGGGUUUAAAGGGUGCGUAGGCGGCUUAUUAAGUCAGGGGUGAAAGACGGUGGCUCAACCAUCGCAGUGCCCUUGAUACUGAUGAGCUUGAAUACACUAGAGGUAGGCGGAAUGUGACAAGUAGCGGUGAAAUGCAUAG
rnacentral:rRNA from 1 species